GGCGGACGUGGCCAAGUGGAUUAAGGCAGUGGAUUGGAAACCC
rnacentral:tRNA from 1 species